rnacentral:rRNA from 1 species
GACGAACGCUGGCGGCGCGCCUAACACAUGCAAGUCGAACGAGCGAGAGAGAGCUUGCUUUCUCGAGCGAGUGGCGAACGGGUGAGUAACGCGUGAGGAACCUGCCUCAAAGAGGGGGACAACAGUUGGAAACGACUGCUAAUACCGCAUAAGCCCACGGUGCCGCAUGGCAUAGAGGGAAAAGGAGCAAUCCGCUUUGAGAUGGCCUCGCGUCCGAUUAGCUAGUUGGUGAGGUAAUGGCCCACCAAGGCGACGAUCGGUAGCCGGACUGAGAGGUUGAACGGCCACAUUGGGACUGAGACACGGCACAGAAUCCUACGGGAGGCAGCAGUGGGGAAUAUUGCACAAUGGGGGAAACCCUGAUGCAGCGACGCCGCGUGGAGGAAGAAGGUCUUCGGAUUGUAAACUCCUGUUGUUGGGGAAGAUAAUGACGGUACCCAACAAGGAAGUGACGGCUAACUACGUG